rnacentral:tRNA from 1 species
GGCGGAUGUAGCCAAGUGGAUACAAGGCAGUGGAUUGUGAAU